UGCCUCUUUUCAAAAAGAUGAGUCUGACGAAGACAUCACUUCUUUAAAUGUUUGAGGCUCAUUUUCUAAGAGAAAUGUUACAAAAUCCGACCCAAACGAAGUUGACGUUCUUUGACGUGUACUAUGUCUUGGAUUUUCUCAUUAUGUACAUUCUCACUUCGUUCAUCUCAAGGUCGUUUAGAUCCUCCACUAGACUGUUCAUGUCUAAUUUUAUACGGGUAAAUAUUUUCAAAGAAUUCAGCAUUAUCUGAUUCAAUUACCGUAUUUUCAUUUAUAUCCGAAUGUUCGGAUUUAUGAACCAAAAAUCGACAUGCUUUACUGCUUUUAGCAUAUCCUAUGA
rnacentral:lncRNA from 1 species